AGCAUAUCAAUAAGCGGAGGAAAAAAAACUAACAGGAUUCCCCUAGUAACGGCGAGUGAAGCGGGAAGAGCUCAAAUUUAAAAUCUGGCGGUGUAUUCCGUCCGAGUUGUAGUCUAGAGAAGCAUCAUCCGUGCCGGACCAUGUACAAGUCUCUUGGAACAGAGCGUCAUAGAGGGUGAGAAUCCCGUCCUUGACAUGGACUCCCGGUGCUUUGUGUUGAGCUCUCAACGAGUCGAGUUGUUUGGGAAUGCAGCUCAAAAUGGGUGGUAAAUUCCAUCUAAAGCUAAAUAUUGGCGAGAGACCGAUAGCGAACAAGUACCGUGAGGGAAAGAUGAAAAGCACUUUGGAGAGAGAGUUAAACAGUACGUGAAAUUGUUGAAAUGGAAACGAUUGAAGUCAGUCGCGUUCUCUGGGAUUCAGCCUUGCUUCUGCUUGGUGCAUUUCCUAGUCUACGGGCCAGCAUGGAUUUCGACCGUUGGAAAAGGGCUGGGGGAAUGUGGCACCUUCGGGUGUGUUAUAGCCCCUUGUCGCAUGCAUCGGUUGGGAUCGAGGACCUCAGUGCACGCUUCGGUUGUGCUUUGAUGCUGGCGUAAUGGCUUUAAACGACCCGUCUUGAAACACGGACCAAGGAGUCUAACAUGUCUGCGAGUGUUUGGGUGAAAAACUCGGACGCGCAAUGAAAGUGAUAGUUGGGAACCUCUCACGAGGGGCACCGACGCCCGGACCAGACCUUCUGUGACGGAUCCGAGGUAGAGCAUAUAUGUUGGGACCCGAAAGAUGGUGAACUAUGCCUGCAUAGGGUGAAGCCAGAGGAAACUCUGGUGGAGGCUCGUAGCGAUUCUGACGUGCAAAUCGAUCGUCAAAUGUGGGUAUAGGGGCGAAAGACUAAUCGAACCAUCUAGUAGCUGGUUCCUGCAA
rnacentral:rRNA from 1 species